GCUCCCAUGGCGUAGUGGUCACUGCGCUCGCCUUGCACGCGGGAGAUCCGGGUUCGAUUCCCGGCGGAGUCA
rfam:Asian citrus Psyllid, Diaphorina citri - Florida Strain, whole genome shotgun sequence.